rnacentral:rRNA from 1 species
GACGAACGCUGGCGGCGUGCCUAAUACAUGCCAGUUGAGCGCUGAAGGUUGGUACUUGUACCAACUGGAUGAGCAGCGAACGGAUGAGUAACGCGUGGGGAAUCUGCCUUUGAGCGGGGGACAACAUUUGGAAACGAAUGCUAAUACCGCAUAAAAACUUUAAACACAAGUUUUAAGUUUGAAAGAUGCAAUUGCAUCACUCAAAGAUGAUCCCGCGUUGUAUUAGCUAGUUGGUGAGGUAAAGGCUCACCAAGGCGAUGAUACAUAGCCGACCUGAGAGGGUGAUCGGCCACAUUGGGACUGAGACACGGCCCAAACUCCUACGGGAGGCAGCAGUAGGGAAUCUUCGGCAAUGGACGAAAGUCUGACCGAGCAACGCCGCGUGAGUGAAGAAGGUUUUCGGAUCGUAAAACUCUGUUGGUAGAGAAGAACGUUGGUGAGAGUGGAAAGCUCAUCAAGUGACGGUAACUACCCAGAAAGGGACGGCUAACUACGUG